rnacentral:rRNA from 1 species
UGGGGAAUCUUGGACAAUGGGGGCAACCCUGAUCCAGCCAUGCCGCGUGAGUGAUGAAGGCCUUAGGGUCGUAAAGCUCUUUCGCCUGUGAAGAUAAUGACGGUAGCAGGUAAAGAAACCCCGGCUAACUCCGUGCCAGCAGCCGCGGUAAUACGGAGGGGGUUAGCGUUGUUCGGAAUUACUGGGCGUAAAGCGCACGUAGGCGGACCAGAAAGUUGGGGGUGAAAUCCCGGGGGCUCAACCCCGGAACUGCCUCCAAAACUAUUGGUCUAGAGUUCGAGAGAGGUGAGUGGAAUUCCAAGUGUAGAGGUGAAAUUCGUAGAUAUUUGGAGGAACACCAGUGGCGAAGGCGGCUCACUGGCUCGAUACUGACGCUGAGGUGCGAAAGUGUGGGGAGCAAAACAGGAUUAGAUACCCUGGUAGUCCACACCGUAAAACGAUGAAUGCCAGUCGUCGGGUAGCAUGCUAUUCGGUGACACACCU